UACGGGGGGGGGCAAGCGUUGUUCGGAAUUACUGGGCGUAAAGGGCUCGUAGGCGCCAACUAAGUCAUACGUGAAAUCCCUCGGCUUAACCGGGGAACUGCGUCUGAUACUGGAUGGCUUGAGUUCGGGAGAGGGAUGCGGAAUUCCAGGUGUAGCGGUGAAAUGCGUAGAUAUCUGGAGGAACACCGGUGGCGAAGGCGGCAUCCUGGACCGAUACUGACGCUGAGGAGCGAAAGCCAGGGGAGCAAACAGG
rnacentral:rRNA from 1 species